AGUGAACGCUGGCGGUAGGCCUAACACAUGCGAGUCGAACGGCAGCACAGUAAGAGCUUGCUCUUACGGGUGGCGAGUGGCGGACGGGUGAGGAAUACAUCGGAAUCUACUUUUUCGUGGGGGAUAACGUAGGGAAACUUACGCUAAUACCGCAUACGACCUACGGGUGAAAGCAGGGGAUCUUCGGACCUUGCGCGAUUGAAUGAGCCGAUGUCGGAUUAGCUAGUUGGCGGGGUAAAGGCCCACCAAGGCGACGAUCCGUAGCUGGUCUGAGAGGAUGAUCAGCCACACUGGAACUGAGACACGGUCCAGACUCCUACGGGAGGCAGCAGUGGGGAAUAUUGGACAAUGGGCGCAAGCCUGAUCCAGCCAUACCGCGUGGGUGAAGAAGGCCUUCGGGUUGUAAAGCCCUUUUGUUGGGAAAGAAAAGCAGCAGGUUAAUACCCCGCUGUUCUGACGGUACCCAAAGAAUAAGCACCGGCUAACUUCGU
rnacentral:rRNA from 1 species